rnacentral:rRNA from 1 species
GAUGAACGCUGGCGGCGUGCCUAAUACAUGCAAGUCGAGCGAACGGACGAGAAGCUUGCUUCUCUGAUGUUAGCGGCGGACGGGUGAGUAACACGUGGAUAACCUACCUAUAAGACUGGGAUAACUUCGGGAAACCGGAGCUAAUACCGGAUAAUAUUUUGAACCGCAUGGUUCAAAAGUGAAAGACGGUCUUGCUGUCACUUAUAGAUGGAUCCGCGCUGCAUUAGCUAGUUGGUAAGGUAACGGCUUACCAAGGCAACGAUGCAUAGCCGACCUGAGAGGGUGAUCGGCCACACUGGAACUGAGACACGGUCCAGACUCCUACGGGAGGCAGCAGUAGGGAAUCUUCCGCAAUGGGCGAAAGCCUGACGGAGCAACGCCGCGUGAGUGAUGAAGGUCUUCGGAUCGUAAAACUCUGUUAUUAGGGAAGAACAUAUGUGUAAGUAACUGUGCACAUCUUGACGGUACCUAAUCAGAAAGCCACGGCUAACUACGUGCCAGCAGCCGCGGUAAUACGUAGGUGGCAAGCGUUAUCCGGAAUUAUUGGGCGUAAAGCGCGCGUAGGCGGUUUUUUAAGUCUGAUGUGAAAGCCCACGGCUCAACCGUGGAGGGUCAUUGGAAACUGGAAAACUUGAGUGCAGAAGAGGAAAGUGGAAUUCCAUGUGUAGCGGUGAAAUGCGCAGAGAUAUGGAGGAACACCAGUGGCGAAGGCGACUUUCUGGUCUGUAACUGACGCUGAUGUGCGAAAGCGUGGGGAUCAAACAGGAUUAGAUACCCUGGUAGUCCACGCCGUAAACGAUGAGUGCUAAGUGUUAGGGGGUUUCCGCCCCUUAGUGCUGCAGCUAACGCAUUAAGCACUCCGCCUGGGGAGUACGACCGCAAGGUUGAAACUCAAAGGAAUUGACGGGGACCCGCACAAGCGGUGGAGCAUGUGGUUUAAUUCGAAGCAACGCGAAGAACCUUACCAAAUCUUGACAUCCUUUGACAACUCUAGAGAUAGAGCCUUCCCCUUCGGGGGACAAAGUGACAGGUGGUGCAUGGUUGUCGUCAGCUCGUGUCGUGAGAUGUUGGGUUAAGUCCCGCAACGAGCGCAACCCUUAAGCUUAGUUGCCAUCAUUAAGUUGGGCACUCUAAGUUGACUGCCGGUGACAAACCGGAGGAAGGUGGGGAUGACGUCAAAUCAUCAUGCCCCUUAUGAUUUGGGCUACACACGUGCUACAAUGGACAAUACAAAGGGCAGCGAAACCGCGAGGUCAAGCAAAUCCCAUAAAGUUGUUCUCAGUUCGGAUUGUAGUCAGCAACUCGACUACAUGAAGCUGGAAUCGCUAGUAAUCGUAGAUCAGCAUGCUACGGUGAAUACGUUCCCGGGUCU